GAUGAACGCUGGCGGCGUGCUUAACACAUGCAAGUUGAGCGAAGCGCUUACGACCGAACCUUCUGCGGAAGUUGUAAGGGACUGAGCGGCGGACGGGUGAGUAACGCGUGGGUAACCUGCCUCUUACAGGGGGUUAACAGUUUGAAACGGCUGCUAUUACCCCAUAAUCGCUCAGUAUCCCAUUAUACGUUUUUAUAAACUCCGGUGGUAUGUGUUGGACCCGCUUCUGAUUAGAUAGUUGGAGUGGUAACGGCCCACCAAGGCGACGAUGAGUAGCCGGGAUGAGAGGGUGAACGGACACAAUGGGACUGAGACACGGCACAGAAUACGACGGGAGGGAGCAGUGGGGAAUAUAGAAAAAUGGGGGAAAAACAGAUGAAGCGACGCGGCGUGAAGGAAGAAGUAUGUCGGAAAGUAAACUACAAUGAGAAGGGAAGAAAAUGACGGUAACGGACUAAGAAGCCACGGCUAACUACGUG
rnacentral:rRNA from 1 species